rnacentral:lncRNA from 1 species
CUUGAAAUGGGCUGAGUCCCUCUUGCUCACCCUUGACUUGGAAAAACCAGUUUCUCUUUUAUUGUCUGUUACUAAUCUCUAUUCUAAAAAUUCAGCUCAAUUCUCAACCAUACUCCAAACUCUCUCUUUUCCAGCUACCUUUACUCCCUCUCCUUCAAUUCCACUUUCCUCUGCUUACUUUUUUUUUUUUUCUGACAGGGUCUCACUUUGUCGCCCGGGCAGGAGUGCAGUGGCUCAAUCUUGGGCUCACUGCAGCCUCAACCUCCCAGAGGCGGGGUUUCACCAUGUUGCCCAGACUGGUCUUGAACUCCUGAGCUUAAGCAAUCCACCUGCCUCGGCCUCCCAAAGUGUUGGGAUCACAGGCGUGAGCCACCGCAUCCGGCCUCAUGUUCUUUUUCAUUAAAGAGAGAAAUCAACUAUUCAGGACCGGCCCCCACCUUUCCUCAGGAGUCAUUUCUGUUCCGCACAGGCCUGCUGAACUGGGUGCUUUAUAUAGGGUAAGUGUUUCUCAUUUUUUGUUCCCUGUCCUCAAGCCUUAGGGGCAAAAGAAACAUCCAAGAUUUGAAAUUUCUUUUCUUCUUCUCAUCUGCAUGGCUGUAGCCAUCUCUCUGUUCUGCAUUAUCUUAUGACAAAAAAAAAAAAUUCUUAUUUUGAAGCAAACUCAAAGCUAGGUCCUGAUGUCUCAAGGCACAGGUACUCGUACUUAAAGGUGAGUCUGAAAUCUGUGGAUUUGGGGAACUUUGGAAAAACAAAGAUGAGUGGCUAGAUCAGGGGGCUCAUUGGGCAGGAAGAGGAGACUGGAAAAUGCCAUAUUCACUGCAAGUCAAUUAUCAACUUCCUCCAAGGCUAAAAUAGCUGAACCUGCUGCAUUUUAAACCAAUCCUCAGCCACUUUGGUGUUUUCUCAAGGAUUUCCAGGGAUCCCAGGCAGUAAAUUCUGCUGAUAAUAGGAAUUGGUGUGAUAAGGUGGGUGCUGAGCAGUUUAAGCACCAAGAUUGUAGCUCUGUCUGGUUUUGUGGAGAUUUACUCAACUAGAAGAACAGAGAUUUGGCUGGUUUUUCAGUCCUGGGGUGCAGGGUGCACCUGUACUGGAAAAUUUAGGACGUGGUUUCAUUCUUUGAGUCUCAUGUUCAAGUUGGUUUUAAUGUUAUGAAGACACUUGGGACGUAAUCCUGAGGGCAGCUGGGGGGAAGAAAGUGGUCACUGGAUGGACUUACCCUGUAGCGAGCCCAUGCAUGGUUUGUUCUCUGAUCGUGCAUGUGCUUGGCUCUAGACCCAUGUAACCAUGGUGAAGGCCACUGGGGGAUUCAGUUGGCAAAGGCAUAGUGGGCAGAAGAAUCUUGAACAAGGAGUCCAGAGCAGGUCAAGUCUCCUGAUACAGGUUGUGACUCAUGGUUUUUUGUCUCUGCCUGUAGCAGCUACAGGUCUGUAAAGCAAGGGGAGAGUGAUAAGGAAAGAACUCACCUUUCUGGGGCUCUCUGACAUUAAUGCCACCUCCCAUUUGCUUUUUGCAGACACUGUCAUCUCUCAAGUACCCAUCUUGGAGGGUACGGACCCCACAUGAGGGUGAGGCUCUCUGCACACUCCAGAAAAGGACCAACCACACCGAGCUCAGUUAUGGCACACACAGUGGGACCUAGACAAAGGGAGAGGGUGACCGACAUCCCAACUAGAUUUCAGUGGAGUGAAGUUCAGGAGGCAUGGAGCUGACAACCAUGAGGCCUCGGCAGCCACCGCCACCACCGCCGCCGCCACCACCGUAGCAGCAGCAGCAGCAGCAGCAGCAGCAGCAGCAGCAGCAAGAGUAACUCUGACUUAGGAAUAGAGACAGCCAGAGAGAAAUGUGAUCAAUGAAGGAGACAUCUGGAGUGUGCGUGCUUCUUCAGAGGGACGGGUGAUGGGCAGAUUGGAAAAAGCACCGCAGAUGGGAACCUUAAUCUUUCUUUUCUAAAAUUGAUGCUAUGAAAAUUUGCGUUUUCUGUAACUUGUAAAAACUAAAAGUUGCUUGUCUACUGAAAAGCCUCUCUGCCUCUAUGUUUUAUACCAUCGGAUGCCAACUCCCGGCCUUCUAAGCCACCUCCCCUUUAGGCUAAAACUGAGACAUGAACUUGAAAAAUUGACACUGGCUUCCUCUCUCUUUAGGGUCCCCAGGCAGGUGGCUGGGACACUAUUUGCAAUCAGCAAGGAACCCUGCUGCCCUUAGACUCCCCACAGAGCAAGCAGAACUUGCAGAAUGGGGUAAAAACACUCUAUUAAAGAUUUUUUAAACCUAUUUAUAUUGUAAUAAAGUAAAUGUAAAUAAAAUUUA